UUCCUCUAUUUUUAUUGCUUGUAAUUCAGCAUUACAUCCCGCCGUUCUCUCUUUAUCUAUGUGUGUUUCAUUCUGAAUUUCUUUUUAAGAGAGGGCAUGGAAAGCUGUGAUCAUUGUUGAAAAUAUUAUAACUAACUCCAGGCUAACAACAACUAAAAUGAAACAUAAGAUACAAACUUUGUUCUGUGGUGCUUUCUAUUUUUUUUUUUUAACAUGGACAAUAUUUUUUCCUUUUAAUUUCUGACUGCCUCCCUAAGGACUUCAAUUUAAUAAUUUUAAAUGUGAUACCUUAACAGUUCAUAUACCUGGGACUCUUUAUUUUUUAUCUUGUGCUGUUGCAAGCCUUGUCCUAACCGUCCAGAUUGCUGAGGGCUCCUGGUCCUGUUUACUGCUAACCAUGGCUGUUCUUCUACAUUGCUUCAGACUGUGCAGCUUCAGGCCUAGAUCUCUCUACCACACUUUUAACCAUGCUGUGCAUGGGAGAAGUAGAAGCUGUUCAGGCUUCAGUCUUUGGUCUGCUUUCAUUCUUUUUUUUUUUUUUUUUUAAAUAAACCAGACCUCUUGUCUGGCUAACCUGACUUUUCUCCCACUCUUUAACUGGAUAUUUUCAGGCCAUAAGCCUGGGUUCUAAUUUCCUUAAAUUGAGCACCAAUUUAAAUCAAAGACUAUUAAUAGACUAAUAACAUUCUGUAUAUAUUACUAAAUGCUGGAAAUUAAUAUGUCAUUAUAAUCAGUUAUAUUAUAUCAGGUUGUUCCCCAACCACACCGAGAACUGUUAGUAUUUUAUAGCUUAGUACUUAGCUGGACAAACUUGCUACUAGGGCAUUUAAACACAAACAUUUUGCCCCAUCCAUGGCAUGUGGCUAGCUAUUCCUUCCAGGCCCAUAAAGAGGCCUCUUUCCUUUCCUCUGUCCUGUCUUUCUUCUUACCAGUGUUCAUUUAUCCUUAAAUUUUGUUCACAAAUAAAAAUUGAUAGAAAUAAUUCACUAAUAUAAAUAAUAAAAAUAUUCAUUUCUAUUACUAAAAUGAAAACACAUCACUAGGAUGGCAAUGUCUACUUUCUGUUAUGAAUCAUUCCACCACACCCACGUCACUUUUCUGAUCUCAGCUCCAUGAGCCCCCACAAGUGUUUUAAAAUUUGCCACAUGGCAUCUUUUGCUUUAGGAUCUUUCACAAGGAAGACAAAAUACAUCUAAGAGUUUUAAAGUGCCCUUUAGUCUUCGGGAAUUAUCUCAAGAAAGACUAUUUGAAUGUAUGUUUAAAAAAAUAGCAGCUUAGUAAGUACAAGGGAAAAUCUUAAAAUGGUCAAUUCAUAGUUAAUUAGCCCAGAUAUGCUAAACAAUUUUUUAUUUUUAAAAAUUCUUUGAGAGUUUUAUCCACUCCAUUUUCAUUACAUCUUUCCCCUCUCCAUAUCUUUCCCAAUACUUUUUCUAAAUGGGGAAUCUUAAAAGAAACCACUAUGCUUUUUAUCCCAAGAAUAAGAUCUUCAUAGGAUAAGACAUUUCGAAUUUGUACCUUAUUAUUUGAAAACAAAGACUGGUGAUCAGGAAAACAUAGAACAAACUUGUACUAGCAGUUUUGUAGAUUGGAAAAUUCUUCACUAUAUGUCAAAUAUUUAGUUUCAUGCUGCUUUUGUACCUGGGAUGACUAGAAAUAAAACACACAGUUUCUGAGGUUUAAUUUUUCCUUCUAUAAAAGGAAAUUAUAUUAGAUGAUCUUAAAAAUCCAUUCCAGAUAAUGUUAAAUGUUUCACAUAUGAGAAUUCAAUCAGAGUGCUAAUACAUUUAAUUAAUUAUCAUUAUAAAAACCGGAGAAGGAAAAAACAGGACAAGCAAGAGUGAUAGGUAUUUAAGAAAGAGGUAAGAAACAUAAAGCUAGGUAGGUCACAGUUGCUUAAAACUUACUGUGAUUCAG
rnacentral:lncRNA from 1 species